CCAUGAACCUGUGCGCUUCCGCCGCCGACGUCCUGAGCUCCGCCUACAUGGCGGCGGGCAUGACUUCGCGCGCGCGCCGACCGGAACCCCACAACUCCGCUGGGUAACCGGACGCCGUCGCUCGUUC
rnacentral:sRNA from 1 species